rnacentral:rRNA from 1 species
GUUUCCCAGAGGUGCUUUCAGACUGGGGACACUUGAGCAGAAAAGAAAAGUGGAAAUCUCUGUGGUCGGUGGAAUGCGCGUAUAUAUAUGAAGAAAACACCAUGGGCGAGCGCGCUUUCUGGUCUGGUCUGACGCUGAAUUCUCAAGCAUGGGUAGCAAACACAGAUUAAAUACCCCCUGUAACCAUGGCCGUACGAUGAAGCUAAGUGUGUGGAAGGUUUCCCCCCCUUCUGGCUGCCUAACGCAUUUAGCACCCCGCCUGGGGAGUACCAACCGCAGGGUGAAACUCUCAAGGAAAUUGACGGGACCCCGCACAACGGUGGAACAUGUGUGGUUAAUUUCAAACCUACGCAAAAAACCUUACCAUCCUGGAUCCUUUGACCACUCUUAGAUAGAGAUUUUCCCUUCGGGGACAAAUGACAGGGGUGCAUGGUUGUCGUCAGCUCGUGUCGUGAGAUGUUGGGUUAAGUCCCGCAACGAGCGCAACCCUUAUAUUAGCUGCCAUCAUUCAGUUGGGCACUCUGUGUGACUGCCGGUGACAAACCGGAGAAGGUGGGAUGACGUCAAUCAUCAUGCCCUUAUGACUGGCUACACACGUGCUACAUGACGAUACACG